UAGUUGUAAAGUUCGAGCCAUGCGCUGA
rnacentral:sRNA from 1 species